GACGGAGGAUGCAAGCGUUAUCCGGAAUGAUUGGGCGUAAAGCGUCUGCAGGUGGCAGUUCAAGUCUGCUGUCAAAGACCGGGGCUUAACUUCGGAAAGGCAGUGGAAACUGAACAGCUAGAGUAUGGUAGGGGCAGAGGGAAUUCCUGGUGUAGCGGCGAAAUGCGUAGAGAUCAGGAAGAACAUCGGUGGCGAAGGCGCUCUGCUGGACCAUAACUGACACUCAGGGACGAAAGCUAGGGGAGCGAAUGGG
rnacentral:rRNA from 1 species